rnacentral:misc_RNA from 1 species
AGAGUCUUGCAGAUACCUGUUUUCCUCUUAAUCAAGAAUUGUUUUUGCACCAAUUCUGUGAUGCUCACACUUGUUCAGGGAAAAAAAAGCAUUUUCCUAAAGGUCGCAAGAAGCAAACAAGUGUUAUCUACCUUGCUUUGUCAAUACUGACUUUGAUGCUGCUGCCUCUUUUUUAUCUUAUUGUUUAUUUGUAUCAAAGAGAAAUGAGGCAGGGAACACAAAAUCUGAGACGAAUCACUCGAGUCGGACAAAAGACAAAGCCAUCAUAGUUAACUGGUAAAUUUUUAUGUCUUCUGAUUGAAAAACUCCCUGAUCAAAUCUCCAGGUUGAAAAUAUAUUUAUGGACU